AGGGGUCCUGCUAUAAUCAUGUCAUCCUCAGACUUAAGACCCAUCAUCCUGGACUUAGGGUAUCAGAUCCUAAGCAUGUACCUCCACAGGCGUGUGAGGACUCUGGGACAAGGGCUGGGACACCAGAAAAUCAUACUAAGUGGUGUCUAACCGGCCCUCCAGACGGGGAGAAGAGGAUCCAAGGGAGACGCCUCCUGAGAUGAGAAGGCAUCCUUGAAGCCACACAGAAGAGCUGGGGCUCUCAGGACCUACGCAGCUUUCCAGGCUGCCCACCCUAGGUCUUUGUCCAAAGAUGCACCAAGUCCUACACUGGGCACUGGGUGCUCCCGGCACACCUGCGCGUGCCAUGCUUGCAUCAAGCCUUCAGAUGUCCCAUGGACUCCAGGGUGUGCACAUGCUUGUGAGCCCAUGUGCAUAAUCGAUGACUGGUGACACCAAAAAGGGAUGUUCACUGGAUGGCCAGGGGCGGACUGAUGCUCUAAUCUCCUGAGCCAGAGUGCCUGGCAGGGUCUCUCCGGCGGUCCUACCUGCAAACACCGCGGAGCAGUAGGCAUCGCUGAUGUCGGAGUCCGGGGUGUGGACGUUCUCCGCAAAGAGGAUGAAGACUCGCAGCAUCGCGAAGCUGGAGGGGG
rnacentral:lncRNA from 1 species